GCUUGAGGAGAGGCAAGCUCAAUUAAGCAGUGUGUGUGCAAUUUCAGGGAAAUGGGGUCUGCUUCUUAGAAUCUACAAGAAUGCAAGGCCUCUUGAGCAAAAGUAUGGGGGUGUUUCUUUUUUUAAUGGAUCACCUGGUGGGGCCUCAACACCCCUAUUCUUCUUUCCCAAGGUGGAAGAGCUGCUAACUGCAGAAAUGACGUCAGUCCCAGCUUGUAAUGGUGCUGACUGGGGAUGGGCAUGAUCAAAUGUUGCUCCGGGUGAUGUUUGGCUCUCUCUGGCCACCUUUCAUCUGGAGCAUCUCAUAACACUUUACAGGAGAUAGUUAAUUAUACUUCCUGAGGCUUUGGGCAGGAACAUGCAUCACAGACUGCACUUACGUCUGUGACUAUGUCAGAAGAAAUGCUCAAGGACUAAUUACUUUGCAUUUGUAUGUAUCAUCUCCUUUCACAUGGGAUCUCAAAGCAAUUUCCCAAGAAACAAACUUUGACCUAUGGAAGAAAAAAAAGAUGUUUUUCAUAUGAACACAGUAAAAUUCACAGCAUAUGAAGGAAGAGCUGAACAGGCUCACAUCUGUAAGGAUAAGUGGGUCAAGCAAUGAGAAGGGAUACCAAGCUGAGCUUAGUCUCCAGAGGCUUCUACAGGAUCACAUGUCUCUUCAGAAAUGCCAUUUUAACUGAUGUGGAAGUUGAUAAAAGUGAUGCCCCAAGAGAUCUUCAGUCAUCAGAUCAACAUUCAUGUUAUGAGCAAAAAGGCUCUCUGACUUUCAUUCAGCCCAAGACCCAGAGUUAAACUGGGUUUAACCAGCUAACUGGUUCCUUGUUGAUCAAAAGGUAACACUUUUGAGAUGGGCAUGUGAUGACUCCGGCAGACAUCCAGUUGUGUUUCAAAAGGACAUGGAUUCUAGGACACCAAGAGAGACGUGUCUAAUAAGUUGUUUUGGUCUCUAAAAGUUAUCUGAGUGGCCAACACACCGGUAGGGACAUGACCCAAUUGCUUGGGCAGGGGCAGAACAAAUUGGAACUAGAGCUGUGCUGGAGACAGGAUUCCAAAGCCAAGUCCAUGAAGCUAUAAGCAAUAAAUGAUUUUCC
rnacentral:lncRNA from 1 species